CCUACGGGAGGCUGCAGUGGUGAAUAUUGCACAAUGGUGGAAACCCUGAUGCAGCGACGCAGCGUGAGUGAAGAAGUAUUUAGGUAUGUAAAGCUCUAUCAGCAGGGGAGAAAAAAGACGGUACCUGACUAAGAAGCCCCGGCUAACAACGUUCCAGCAGCCGCGGGAAUACGUAGGGGGCAAGAGUUAUCCGGAUUUAAGGGGUGUAAAGGGAGCGUAGACGGCGCGGCAAGUCUGAAGUGAAAGGCAGGGGCUUAACCCCUGAACAGCUUUGGAAACUGCCAUGCUAUAGUGCUGGAGAGGUCAGUGGAAUUCCUAGUGUAGCGGUGAAAUGCGUAGAUAUUAGGAGGAACACCAGUGGCGAAGGCGGCUUACUGGACAGUAACUGACGUUGAGGCUCGAAAGCGUGGGGAGCAAACAGGAUUAGAUACCCUUGUAGUC
rnacentral:rRNA from 1 species